AAAUCUUCAAAGUAAAUCUUUUGUUAACUCAAUUGGUUUCUACUUUGGUAUUGGAGGCCAUUGCAGCUUCACACCUGCUCCUCUUUGUUCAUUAGCUGGAUCUCAGUGUUAUGCUUGGUUCCACUCAGCGUGAUAAGUUAUCUAUCGCUGAGGACACUGUAAAAGGUGGCCAAGGUAAAUGCAGAUGAACCGCUUCUAAUAGUCCAUUGACUUGGACAAUAAAUUAAUUUCUAU
rnacentral:misc_RNA from 1 species